rnacentral:lncRNA from 1 species
AGGUAUUAGAAUCAAUGAAUACAAUGUGUGAAUACAAUGCUGUGUAUAAAACUUGUACAGGUCCAGCUAUAAACCCCUGGUAAACCUUAUAAUUUUGCCAGAACCAGUUUCACACACAACAUUUACAAAGCUAGUGGUUCUAUAAAAAAUUAAGGAAA